rnacentral:lncRNA from 1 species
UCGGUGAGACCGCACCACCCACUAGAAAUCACUAAUCACGAAGAUUUUCACAUCUCUACCUAGGGAGUGUAGGGAUCUGAAAAAAUAGUGAGAGCCUAAUUUGUUUAAAAAUAAAAUCUCUAAAUAAAUUGGUUAAGUCUGAUUAUAAAAUCUAACUAGAAACUCUUGACUCUUUUCAAGAAAUAUGUCUGUGUCCAACCCCCUGACCAAAAUACUAGACACCCAC